UUUUUAAAACAAACAAAACUUUUAUGGUCCAAAACAGUUUUUCUCAAGAAUCUGCUCUAUGCAAACAGUAACAACUUUUUACAAAGCAUUUUCACAGAAAAGGAGACAAGUCCUUCCCCAGCGUGGGAACUGUUCCUCUCUCACCUCGUUUUCGGGGGGAAGAGGGGGCGCUAUUCACUAGUGCGGGGCAGAAGGGGCACUGGGUCCCUCAGUUGUUCGGCAGAUUUAAAAGCCCCAGCUUCCCUUCACACCUCAACUUGCCAUCUGCCUAAGACCUAACCUCCCCUGACCUCACCUGGGUGGAGGAGAAAACGCUUCCAACCCUCUCUGACUCAAGAUCCUCCUAGCUGGAGGGUAUGGCAGAGGGCGUGAUCCAGGCCUAUCUCACCCCUCCCCUGGAAAACAGAACCUCUGACCCCAAACCUAAUCCCCUGGCCCUGCCCCCUUCGGAUCCAUCAGAUCUCUGACAACUCCCGCAAUGCCUGAGGCUGGGACAUGUUGCGGGGGAAGCUUAAGGUACCUCAGCGCAGAUCCCAUCCAGACUCAAACUUUGUCCUUUCAAACCCCAGGGGACUCUUGCAGUUAGGCCAAGAGUCCUUUCAUUUACCACCUCUGCAAAGUGCAGCUUGUUUUGUUUCCACUCUUUAAGGGGGCUGAGUUUGGGUGUCCAAGAAUGGACUCGGGCCUGCCUUCCACCUCCACCUCCUCUCAUCCAUAAAUCGGUGGAGGCCCUCGAAAGGCGACUUGUUUGGUCUGAUUUUAUUGAUUUCUUCCACCUUCUAUUACUUUCCCUGGGACAGUGUCUUGCCCCUUCCCCAGGCAAAGUAAGCACUUUUCUGGAGAGGAGGUCCCUCAGCCCUACCCGUCCUAAGGAAAGUAAGUUGGGGGAGAGGGCUGAUUAAUCAAGGUUGGGGGGAAUCUUUCUCACCGGCCAGACCUUACACUCGGAAAGCAAACAGGGAAAAAGAUGGGAACUCCAAAACUGGACAAAAGGGAAAGGUCGGCGGCUGAGACUGAAGAUCUCACCAAUUAGGGGUCACCUGCACUUGAGGGGGCCUAGAAAGGGGACAGGAAGGGGGUGAUCUACCUCUUACCCAAGCUCCCUCACCCAUUGAAGGCUCCAACGGUGCUUGGAGCGUUAGGGAAGGCCUGAGGGGAGCAAAGGGUUAAAGGCCUGGACAGUGGGGGUGGGAGAUGCCCCCAGGGAGCUGCCAAUCAUCUCCCCACCCCCACCGCAGCCCCCGCACCCCAGGCUCGCCCACAAACACAGUAACAACCGUUUUGUCCAUCACCGAGGUCUCUCUCCUCUCCUUUUUUUGGGGGGGUGGGGGCUGUCUUUGAGCGGUGGCCUCCUUUGCUCCCACUGGGGUGCAGGCCCUGCCUCCAACGGUCCGAGAUGGAAGGGGGCAGGGAUUGGAAUCUAUGUCAUCAGCCUUUCUUGCUUAAGCCUUCUCCCGACUCCAGCCCUGGGUUUCUUUGCAAAGGAUGAGGGGGAGGGACUGUCACCCCGAACACUUAGGUGCUUGAAGAUCACUGUCAUUUAGGUUCCUCUGCCCACAGCUCCUAAAAUGUAAAGGAAGGGGACAAAUGUGAGAAACGGGGCUCUCUCCUCAAGCCCGCGGUUUGGCCAUGGUCCCAACUUUUCCCCUUUGGCAGAAGUCCCACGGUCAGCUUUCAUCCAUGUUGAUCCCCCAGAAUUUGAGGCCAGGGGGCUCAGGGACAGCGGGACCCCCC
rnacentral:lncRNA from 1 species